rnacentral:rRNA from 1 species
UAGCCUCAACUCAUGUGAGACUACCCCCCUAAAUUUAAGCAU